CAGGGACUUAGAAAAGCUUAGACAUUCAUAGGAAUAAGACCUCCAGCUAUUUAUGGGUUGAUUACAAGCUCAGUAUGAUUCAAUUGAUGAUUAGAUAGUAGACAUCACCUGUUACGAUUGGAGCCCUGUGGCCAAGAGGACGCCUGUGAACUAUUUCACCUGAUUAGGCCACGCUGGGAUUUUUUGCUUGGGUGAGAGGUCGUGCUUCCCCAGGACACGGGCAGCAGCCUGGAGAGAGGAGUCUCAGAGGGUAACCCUGCUCUUCUCAAAUAUGGAAAGCUCCUAUGUGGAAGGGCAGUGAGUGGGAUUUAUCUUUUUCUGGGGAUUCCAGAUGGCAGAAAAUUAGGCCCACACUGCUGAGCGGGAUUUGAGUGUGAGAAUCCAAGUACAGAAGCUGAAUUUGGGAAAAUAGUCUUGCUAAAGAAAGUGGCAGAUUUUCCCAAUUCCACAUUUUGGAAGUAUCAAGAGCUGUUUCAUGAGAUAAGCUGGCGAGAGGAAAUAGACUACUCUGGUAGGAAACUAGAGCAGGUGUACUCAAGGUAACAUUCUCCCUACUUCCUGGUCUACUAGUUCAAGAAAAACGUUUGUUUUGAGUGCCACACGGCGAACCCAUUUUAGAAGUGUUUCUAUUACUAAUAAAACAUUUGCAUAUUUGGAUA
rnacentral:lncRNA from 1 species